GGCAAACAGCUGGAGGAUGGCCGCACCCUGUCCGACUACAACACCCAGAGAGAGUCCACCCUUGCACCUGGUGCUGCGUCUUUGCGGUGACAUCAUCGAGCCAUCCCUUCGUCAGCUUGCCCAGAAGUAUAACUGUGACAAGAUGAUCUGCCGCACGUGCUACGCACACCUGCACCCCGUGCAGUCAGCUGCCGCAAGAAGGGCGGCCACACCAACAACCUGCGCCUCCUGAAGAAGGUCAAAUAGAGCUGGGCCAUACCUGGCCUGUGACCCCGGGACCAAAUAAAGUCCCUUCCAUCGACUGGAGCAGUAAAAAAAGAAAAAAGAAA
rnacentral:lncRNA from 1 species